rnacentral:rRNA from 1 species
UGAGGGAAAGGUGAAAAGAACCCCGGGAGGGGAGUGAAAUAGAACCUGAAACCGUGUGCCUACAACCGCUCAGAGCCCCUUAUGAGGGUGAUGAGGUGCUUUUUGUAGAACGAGCCAACGAGUUACGGUAUGUAGCAAGGUUAAGUACUUAAGGUACGGAGCCGAAGGGAAACCGAGUCUGAAUAGGGCGACUAGUUGCAUGCCGUAGACCCGAAACCGGGUGACCUAUCCAUGGCCAGGUUGAAGCGAGGGUAAAACCUCGUGGAGGACCGAACCACGUUGCUGUUGAAAAAGCAUGGGAUGAGCUGUGGAUAGCGGAGAAAUUCCAAUCGAACCCGGAGAUAGCUGGUUCUCUCCGAAAUAGCUUUAGGGCUAGCGUCGAGUAUGAGUAGUGGAGGUAGAGCACUGAAUGGGCUAGGGGGCAUAGCGCUUACCGAACCUUAUCAAACUCCGAAUGCCACAUACUUUGAGCUCGGCAGUCAGACUACGAAUGAUAAGAUCCGUGGUCAAAAGGGAAACAGCCCAGAUCGUCAGCUAAGGUCCCAAAGUGUAAGUUAAGUGGGAAAGGAUGUGAGAUUUCUAAGACAACUAGGAUGUUGGCUUAGAAGCAGCCAUUCAUUAAAAGAGUGCGUAAUAGCUCACUAGUCGAGAGAUCUUGCGCCGAAAAUGUAACGGGGCUAAACUUACCACC